CACCGCGUAGUGUAGUGGUUAGCACGCUCGACUAACAAUCGAGAGGGCCAGGUUCGAAUCUCGGCGCGGCGA
rnacentral:tRNA from 1 species